GGGUUGUGAGGUUAAGCGACUAAGCGUACACGGUGGAUGCCCUGGCAGUCAGAGGCGAUGAAGGGCGUGCUAAUCUGCGAUAAGCGCCGGUAAGGUGAUAUGAACCGUUAUAACCGGCGAUACCCGAAUGGGGAAACCCAGUGUGACUCGUCACACUAUCAUUAACUGAAUCCAUAGGUUAAUGAGGCGAACCGGGGGAACUGAAACAUCUAAGUACCCCGAGGAAAAGAAAUCAACCGAGAUUCCCCCAGUAGCGGCGAGCGAACGGGGAGGAGCCCAGAGCCUGAAUCAGCAUGUGUGUUAGUGGAAGCGUCUGGAAAGGCGCGCGAUACAGGGUGACAGCCCCGUACACAAAAGCGCAUGUGCUGUGAGCUCGAUGAGUAGGGCGGGACACGUGGUAUCCUGUCUGAAUAUGGGGGGACCAUCCUCCAAGGCUAAAUACUCCUGACUGACCGAUAGUGAACCAGUACCGUGAGGGAAAGGCGAAAAGAACCCCGGCGAGGGGAGUGAAAAAGAACCUGAAACCGUGUACGUACAAGCAGUGGGAGCACCCUUUGGGUGUGACUGCGUACCUUUUGUAUAAUGGGUCAGCGACUUAUAUUCUGUAGCAAGGUUAACCGAAUAGGGGAGCCGGAGGGAAACCGAGUCUUAACCGGGCGUUAAGUUGCAGGGUAUAGACCCGAAACCCGGUGAUCUAGCCAUGGGCAGGUUGAAGGUUGGGUAACACUAACUGGAGGACCGAACCGACUAAUGUUGAAAAAUUAGCGGAUGACCUGUGGCUGGGGGUGAAAGGCCAAUCAAACCGGGAGAUAGCUGGUUCUCCCCGAAAGCUAUUUAGGUAGCGCCUCGUGAAUUCAUCUCCGGGGGUAGAGCACUGUUUCGGCUAGGGGGCCAUCCCGGCUUACCAACCCGAUGCAAACUGCGAAUACCGGAGAAUGUUAUCACGGGAGACACACGGCGGGUGCUAACGUCCGUCGUGAAGAGGGAAACAACCCAGACCGCCAGCUAAGGUCCCAAAGUCAUGGUUAAGUGGGAAACGAUGUGGGAAGGCCCAGACAGCCAGGAUGUUGGCUUAGAAGCAGCCAUCAUUUAAAGAAAGCGUAAUAGCUCACUGGUCGAGUCGGCCUGCGCGGAAGAUGUAACGGGGCUAAACCAUGCACCGAAGCUGCGGCAGCGACACUGUGUGUUGUUGGGUAGGGGAGCGUUCUGUAAGCCUGUGAAGGUGUGUCGUGAGGCAUGCUGGAGGUAUCAGAAGUGCGAAUGCUGACAUAAGUAACGAUAAAGCGGGUGAAAAGCCCGCUCGCCGGAAGACCAAGGGUUCCUGUCCAACGUUAAUCGGGGCAGGGUGAGUCGACCCCUAAGGCGAGGCCGAAAGGCGUAGUCGAUGGGAAACGGGUUAAUAUUCCCGUACUUGGUGUUACUGCGAAGGGGGGACGGAGAAGGCUAUGUUGGCCGGGCGACGGUUGUCCCGGUUUAAGCGUGUAGGUGUGUGUUCCAGGUAAAUCCGGUUCACUUUAACACUGAGGCGUGACGACGAGGCACUACGGUGCUGAAGCAACAAAUGCCCUGCUUCCAGGAAAAGCCUCUAAGCAUCAGGUAACAUCAAAUCGUACCCCAAACCGACACAGGUGGUCAGGUAGAGAAUACCAAGGCGCUUGAGAGAACUCGGGUGAAGGAACUAGGCAAAAUGGUGCCGUAACUUCGGGAGAAGGCACGCUGACACGUAGGUGAAGUGAUUUACUCAUGGAGCUGAAGUCAGUCGAAGAUACCAGCUGGCUGCAACUGUUUAUUAAAAACACAGCACUGUGCAAACACGAAAGUGGACGUAUACGGUGUGACGCCUGCCCGGUGCCGGAAGGUUAAUUGAUGGGGUCAGCGCAAGCGAAGCUCCUGAUCGAAGCCCCGGUAAACGGCGGCCGUAACUAUAACGGUCCUAAGGUAGCGAAAUUCCUUGUCGGGUAAGUUCCGACCUGCACGAAUGGCGUAAUGAUGGCCAGGCUGUCUCCACCCGAGACUCAGUGAAAUUGAACUCGCUGUGAAGAUGCAGUGUACCCGCGGCAAGACGGAAAGACCCCGUGAACCUUUACUAUAGCUUGACACUGAACAUUGAGCCUUGAUGUGUAGGAUAGGUGGGAGGCUUUGAAGUGUGGACGCCAGUCUGCAUGGAGCCGACCUUGAAAUACCACCCUUUAAUGUUUGAUGUUCUAACGUGGACCCGUUACCCGGGUUGCGGACAGUGUCUGGUGGGUAGUUUGACUGGGGCGGUCUCCUCC
rnacentral:rRNA from 3 species